rnacentral:rRNA from 1 species
AGUGAACGCUGGCGGUAGGCCUAACACAUGCAAGUCGAACGGCAGCACAGUAAGAGCUUGCUCUUACGGGUGGCGAGUGGCGGACGGGUAAGGAAUACAUCGGAAUCUACUUUUUCGUGGGGGAUAACGUAGGGAAACUUACGCUAAUACCGCAUACGACCUACGGGUGAAAGCAGGGGAUCUUCGGACCUUGCGCGAUUGAAUGAGCCGAUGUCGGAUUAGCUAGUUGGCGGGGUAAAGGCCCACCAAGGCGACGAUCCGUAGCUGGUCUGAGAGGAUGAUCAGCCACACUGGAACUGAGACACGGUCCAGACUCCUACGGGAGGCAGCAGUGGGAAAUAUUGGACAAUGGGCGCAAGCCUGAUCCAGCCAUACCGCGUGGGUGAAGAAGGCCUUCGGGUUGUAAAGCCCUUUUGUUGGGAAAGAAAAGCAGCAGGUUAAUACCCCGCUGUUCUGACGGUACCCAAAGAAUAAGCACCGGCUAACUUCGUG